AUACGGAGGAUGCAAGCGUUAUCCGGAUUUAUUGGGUUUAAAGGGUGCGCAGGCGGCGCGUUAAGUCAGCGGUGAAAUCUCCCGGCUCAACCGGGGAACUGCCAUUGAUACUGGCGUGCUAGAGUACGGACGGCGCCGGCGGAAUGUGUCAUGUAGCGGUGAAAUGCUUAGAUAUGCCACAGAACACCGAUCGCGAAGGCAGCUGGCGAGGCCGGUACUGACGCUCAGGCACGAAAGCGUGGGGAUCAAACAGGAUUAGAUACCCUGGUAGUCCACGCAGUAAACGAUGAUAACUUGUUGUCGGCGAUAGAGUGUCGGUGACAAAGCGAAAGCGAUAAGUUAUCCACCUGGGGAGUACGAUCGCAAGGUUGAAACUCAAAUGAAUUGACGGGG
rnacentral:rRNA from 1 species